GUUCCGUAGCUUAGUGGUCAUUGUGCGCGACUCUCACGGUGGAAACCCGGGUUCGAUUCCCGCUAGUAACA